GGGCGCCCUGCAUGGAUCCCCCACCCCAGCUCCUGCUCCCCGGCGGCGGCCGGUGGGCAGAAAGACCGAAACCCACUCACGGCCGCCUGCCGAAUCGCGGCUCUGCUGUUUGUGGGGCGUGCUAGAAACGUGGUCCUAAAAAGAAUGGCGUCCAUUUACAUAAUGCUUUGUUUGCGUUUCGCAAGUUUCUUUCGGUUAAAGCCACAGAAACCCCACCUCCUGCCCUUGUGUCGUUUCCACCGCGGCACCCUUUUCCGACAUUAGAAACAAUAGUGUACGCCUGUGGAGGCCUCGUUUGUUCAGGGGCUGCCGGCCAGGGCUUCAGGACGUUUCUGCGGCUUUCCCCGCGCGGCCUGGGCUCCCGCGGCUGCUUUUCGGGCCCAUGGGCGCAGCCACUGCGCCAGGCUCAAGGGGGGCGGCCCCGUCAGGGCCCGCCAUCUUGGAAGGCCUUUUUUGCCGGUUCUUCCCGCUGAGGAAGUGUCGCUCAAGACGCUGGCCUAUGAACUUCCUAGCAUGGGCUGUUGUGCUGGAGAGAACGAGAGCUACGAAGAGACUACAGUGCCUCUGACUUUUUCAUAGGACAGUUGGCCGAGGAAGACAAACAUAAAGAUGAAGUGCUUAAUUCAAGGUCACACAAUGUCGGGGAUGGACCUCCAGAUUUCCUUACUGGAAAACAAGCUCAGGGCUCCCACUGAUUGUACAUUAUGGUGAGACGUGGUCUUGUAACACAGUGGUUAAGAAUGUGACUUUGGAGCCAGCCUGCUAGGGGCUGAAUUCUGACUCAGCCAUUUACUAACUGUGUGACCUUAGGGAGGAGGACCUGGUUGAUAGAAGAAUUUAUCUCGUAGUCUUAACAUCCACUGUAAUUCCAAACUUUGAGGACGAUAGAGAUCAGUGGGCUUUGACUGCCCAGCAUGCAGUCUCCAUUCUUAGGUGGGUUCCCAAGCCUGUAAAAUGUAAGCCUUAUGCUGCUGAGGGCCAUCUUGCCACCCUGAGGGAAACGCUGCCUGAGAAUGAAACAAGCAUAAGUAAAAGCUGAGCUGUGAGAUGGAGCAAGAUGAAGGCCACAUGACAUCUUUGGAGCACCUGGAUCUAACUGUGCCUUAAGCUAGUCUAACCCUGAACAUUUCAUCAUUUCAUUGACAUGAGCCCAGGUUUUCUUUUUUUUUGGAUGGAGUCUUGCUCUGUCGCCCAGGCUGGAGUGCAGUAGCUCAAUCUCGGCUCACUGCAAGCUCCACCUCCCGGGUUCACGCCAUUCUCCUGCCUUAGCCUCCCAAGUAGCUGGGACAACAGGCGCCCACCACCACUCCCAGCUAAUUUUUUGUAUUUUUAGUAGAGACGGGGUUUUACCAUGUUAGCCGGGAUGGUCUUGAUCUCCUGACCUCAUGAUCCGCCCGCCUCGGCCUCCCAAAGUGCUGGGAUUACAGGUGUGAGCCACUGCACCCAGCCCUCAGGUUUUCCCUUUUUUUACCCCUCCUUUUGAAAAUUUGAUGUGGAAUUUUGCCACCUGCAGCCAGAAGAGUUUUAACUAAUCAGUGCCAUAAAUUUUAUAUAGUUCUCCUUGCAAAAUGUGGAUCAGCCUUUCUCAGCAAAUCCUUUGUCAUAAAGUGCUGAAUUGUAAGUUUGUCAUGAGAAUCACAUGAGAUCAUGCAUGUGAAGAACCUGGCAUUAUCCUCCUCAUAGAAAAAAACCAGUAAAUAUUAACUACAGGAAGCAAGGAAGGAGUGGGGUGAGGGGAAGAAGAAGGGGUACUGAUUUAAAAGAACCCUGGAGUCCUAAGGAUAAUCUAGGAACCCUCAGACCCAAUCCGAUACCCCUAUUCUAAAUGCUCCUAGUGCCCUGUACCUUCCCCUCAUAAGCCUUCAUUAUCAUUGUAAUGAUAUGUUUAUGUAAUAUUUUGAUUAAUGUCUCUCCUUCACUGACCUAGCAGUUCUAGCAGGGCAGUGAUUUUGCUGUGUUGCAUCCCCAGCACCUAGUCUGGUAUGUGGCAUUCAGCAUAUGUUUAUUGAAUGAAUGGCCAUGUGGUUAUUCAGAUCCUCCUUGAUUAUUGGGGUUAGGAUUGUGGCAGAAGUGGCAAAAUCAGGGAGAGUAGUCCCUGUCCCCUCUGUAUCUUAUACACUGCCCACACUCCCAACACACAUACACAUACAGAGAAUUUUGUCUCAAUUAGAUAAUUAACUUCUGCUUGGUUGUAAACCAAACCACUGGUUCUUAAACUUUCAUUGGAUCAUUUUAUUGAAGAAUUAAAUAGUGUGGUUCUGGCCUAAUGUCUGGAAAGCCUUGCAGAGGAGUGGAUUAGGUCUUUGUGAUAAACAGGCAGCCUUCCCUGCUCCUGUGUCUUUAUAAAAUCUAUUUAACUGGAGUAGUCCACCCUCCCUCAGGCUCUUACAGGAAUAUGUUGGAGGCUGUAGGAAGGUGGGAAACCGAGAGGGAAAGGACUGGGCCGCUGGAGACUUCACUCAUUCCCUAGCAAGAAACAAAAGCAGUAAAAGGUGGCCCGAGGACAACCUGAAGCUCACUCCUUCAGCACUUUUGGCUGGAGGUCACUUGUUGGAGCCCCACUCAGAGCUCAGCACACCACCCCACCAGCAGCCUCCUCCUCCCAGCUGAGGCUGCAUUUCAUCCCUUCCCCCAGCCUGCUUUCCCUGAGAUAGGGGAGUGUUUCCCAGGGCCCAUGUGACUUCCACUGGCAAGUGACGAUUACCAAUGGUUUACUAGUCAGUGAAACUACCAAAGGCUUUUGUGCUGUAGUAAUCCUUUUCCUGUUUAAAACUCUGGGGAUUUUCUAAUGUUGCCAAUAGUUUUUCAAGUCAGCAAUUACUGUGUGGAUUAUGUAAUGGCUCGGUAUUAAAAAUAGAAAAGACUGGAGUUUGCAUCUAUUUUAACCAAAUCUUGAAAACAGAGCAAAGGGAGGGGAAGGGUGGAGAGGGAGAGACCAGAGGAGGAGGGAGAAAAAGAGAUCAUGUGACUGGAUAAGACAGCUCACAAUUCACUGUGCCUUUCUCCCACCAUUUGUGGCCCAAGGACCUGUACUCCCUCCUCAGCCUCCUCUAGGGAGGGGUCCUUGAUGAGAAUUCUGAGGACACAAGACCCCUUGUGGAUAUUUCUUAGCUCAGCCUUGGUGUGCUUACCUGCUUCUGACAAGCAAAGUGGCCAAGUAGGGGAGGGAGUUGAAUCUGAUGUCCUCCACUAAGUCCAG
rnacentral:lncRNA from 10 species